GACGAACGCUGGCGGCGUGCCUAAUACAUGCAAGUUGAGCGCUGAAGGUUGGUACUUGUACCAACUGGAUGAGCAGCGAACGGGUGAGUAACGCGUGGGGAAUCUGCCUUUGAGCGGGGGACAACAUUUGGAAACGAAUGCUAAUACCGCAUAAAAACUUUAAACACAAGUUUUAAGUUUGAAAGAUGCAAUUGCAUCACUCAAAGAUGAUCCCGCGUUGUAUUAGCUAGUUGGUGAGGUAAAGGCUCACCAAGGCGAUGAUACAUAGCCGACCUGAGAGGGUGAUCGGCCACAUUGGGACUGAGACACGGCCCAAACUCCUACGGGAGGCAGCAGUAGGGAAUCUUCGGCAAUGGACGAAAGUCUGACCGAGCAACGCCGCGGGAGUGAAGAAGGGUCUCGGAUCGUAAAACUCUGUUGGUAGAGAAGAAAGUUGGUGAGAGUGGAAAGCUCAUCAAGUGACGGUAACUACUCAGAAAGGGACGGCUAACUACGUG
rnacentral:rRNA from 1 species